rnacentral:rRNA from 1 species
UACAGAGGGUGCAAGCGUUGUUCGGAGUUAUUGGGCGUAAAGCGCGUGUAGGCGGCUUUGCAAGUCGGGUGUGAAAGCCCUCGGCUCAACCGAGGAAGUGCGCCCGAAACUGCAGAGCUUGAAUACCGGAGAGGGUGGCGGAAUUCCCCAAGUAGAGGUGAAAUUCGUAGAUAUGGGGAGGAACACCGGUGGCGAAGGCGGCCACCUGGACGGAUACUGACGCUGAGACGCGAAAGCGUGGGGAGCAAACAGG